AAAUACUUACUUCGUCCAUGAUAAAGUAUUUUUAAAUCAAACAUAACAUUCAUUUCCCGUUGCUAUUACAUAUAUUACGUAAUUGAUACGGAAACGAAAAUGAAAAAUAACGUUGUAAAAACUUUGAAACAAGAAAAUAUUUAUCAUCUGAAAUUGUAAAGUAUUAUGAGUUUUACGAGUAGUACUUUUUAAUAAUUUGUAGCCUAAUUUAAUUUUAAAAUUUAAAAAGUAAUUAAAUAUUAAAUAGUAUUGUUUAAAAUAACGAAAACCACAUCAAAAUCGCAUCAGUAGUUGUUGUGAAUGCGGACAUACGAGAACAAUAUGCUUAUGAAUCGAAUAAAGAAACUCCUUUUAUAAAGCUGAUAAAACACUUGGCCGUCUAACAAAAAAAGUUUUCAUUUGACACUUUCGUACGCGCCUGUACAUACGCGUUAUUCAGGUCCAAGGGUUAUGCUUGUCCUUAACUCCUAAUAGGGCCCGUUCUCCAAGCACUAAUUAUAAUACCUAGACCGGUGUUUGCUGACCACCUUACGUAUGGCGUUGCUACUCUAGAGUCUAGUGGAUAAUUUACUUUGAGUAAAAUUACAUAAUAUACCUACCUAGCUAGCUUGCUAUUGCAGCUAUUGGAGACAAAAGAUUAUAUUCAAUCAAAUUGAUCUAAAGUUUCUACGUAGUUUUUGUUUAUUUGCUAGAACAUUUAAACUUUUAACUUUAUCAUGAAUUGUACAAAAAUUUUGUAAGGCCUAUAGAAAGGUCCAUCCUGAAAAUAGUUCGAAUUGAUUUUUUUUUCAUUUUUUUAUUGCAGUCGGGUAUAGAUACCCGUUACGGGACGUAUGACAACACAGCCCUAAGUUAGAGGGUUCCUGUGUAAUAAUUAUGCCCGCAUGCAAUUCAUGUUUACCGUAUCAUAACUACCUAAAGCCGCACUAGAUUUGUUUAGAGGUACCGACCUACGAGUACUCGUAUAGUUUACGAAAUUUGCAUUUGUUAAGUCUCAAAAUUAAUUCCUCAUUAGUCAUUUUAUUGCCCCACUGCAGGGCUAAGCCCCUUUCACAAGAGAGGCAAUAGUCCCACCACGCUGCUCUUUGUCAGCCGAUGGAUGUCCACUGCUGAAAAUAAGUCUCUUUUGAGGACUUCGAAACAAAGUUUUGAGUCGCCAGCAUUUAGCGCCCUUCUGUAAGUUCUGUAACCCGCCCCAUAUCGUCGACCAACAUCGCAGUUUCCUUUGCGGGUACACCAUUUUAUCACCUUGGGACCCUAUGUCCAUAGACUCUUAGCCGUUAUGCCCCGGCAACUUCAGCUUUGCGACUAGUUUUUUCGAUAUAUCCUCGAUAUAUUAAUAGUUGACUACAUCAUUCGCUGGAUGCAGGCGGCUCAGUAUCGUGAUGUUUGGAAGUCCCUACAAAAGGCCUAUGUCCUGCAGUGGACGUCCAUCGGCUGAUAUGAUGAUGAUGAUGAUGAUGAUAUUAAUAGUUUGCAGAGAUACUCCAAGCACAGCUCGCUCCAUCGCUCGCUGAAUGACUUUGAGCCUUCUUAUGAGACCCAUAGUUAGCGACGUGCGGGUAAGUCAUCACGGCAAGACGCUCUGAUCGAAGACUUUCUUCUUCAGGCACUGAAGAAUUUUGAACGAAAAGAUGUCGCGGAGUUUACGGAAUGCUGCCCAGCCAAGUUGAAUUACGUUCUGAUAAUACAAUUUCAAAAAUUAUAUAGGUGCCAAGCCAUUAAUUAUUAGUUAUAUUCCCUUUGGGCUCAUGGUUAAUCCGGCCCUGAUGGGCACCUAAAACUUAUCACCUAUGCCAAUUGCCACAGGCUGACGGUCAUUGCAGGACGGGUUCCUUGUGUUUGCUGUAGUUUAAACCUGCAUGAAGGCAUCCAGUCCUGCCCAUACCUGAGAGCGCGCCUAUAUUUAGAGCAGCCAAUGUCAGGGCCGGGGUGCUUGACCGCUGUACCGUAACAAACCAGUCCGCCGACGCUGGACUUAGGAGAUGUUCUCAUUAGUAGUUUUAAUUGUGUUGUUAUUUUAUAAUUUUGCUAAAUGAUAAUCACAUAGUCGCGGUGGACAUUCUGCUGGCUUGGUUCAACAUUUCAUUUGUUUUUUGAAAUUCAUAUUAACAUAAAUUACAUAAAUACUAUAAUUUACUUUUCCAACCCUAAUUAUGCCACUGAGGCAGUACAAUAUUUUGUGAAAGACCGCAUCUUGAUGUACUGCCGCUAUACUCAUUUAUUUUUGGAUUUUCAACCAUCGUACCUUGAUUUCGUAUGAGUUCCAAAGUCGGGGAUACAACGACCUUUGUAUAGGUUCCCUGCGAAAUGUUAAUUUAUUUAUAAGCGAUGAUUUUUCACUUACCUACCAUCAGGUGGGUCAUCUGCUUCGUCCGUCGAUUAAAUAUCAUCAUUACGAGUAUCACUAUCAGCUUAUUUUAAUAGCUAAAUGGCCAGGUCUUCCUUGUUAUCGGAGAGGGGUCGGCGUCAAAUAGUAGAUUUAUAUAAUAAAAUAGUAGCUGUGUGUGCACAAAGCUUAAGCAUUGUAAAGAAUUAAAAAUAUUACAUACGUAUGUCUACGUAUAAAUUGACAGCGUCUAGAUAAAUCUUGUUAAUCCGUGAUUAAACGCUUCAAUGAUAGUAGACAUAUUUAAUUAAAAAGGCUUUUAGUGAUCGCGGGCGAUGCUCUCUUUAGACAAGACAACAAAAGGAAACGUGGAAAGGCCAUUAAGAAGAUGGGAAGAUGAUUUGAAGAUGACAGCAGGAACACUUUGGAAAAGGAAAGUUCAUGAUCGCAAGACAUGGAAGAUCUUGGGAGAGGCCUUUGCCGAAAGGCAAGACGAUUUACCGGUGUCGUAAUUUUUUUAUAUUGUACCUAUAGAUUUUUAUAUUAAGGUAAAUUGUUAAUAAAGGCUAUUAUUAUCCUCGCUAAUUGAAUUCUCAACUGCCUCGUUGUUCUAGUAGUUAGUCAUUUGGAUUCGGGUGACGAGGUCCUGGGUUCGAUUCUCGAGUCGGGUUAUAAAGUAUUUCCUAUCUUCCAAGUAAAUCUAUGUAAAUAAUUCUUAAUCCUAAGUAGGAGUUUAACACCUCAAGCUUCAGAUAUCACGGUAAGCCGUUGAUCCCGGUACUGAAAAUCUGACAGUGAUCAAACACAUAAAGACAAAUUAUCAGUUAGAAGCCCGGCAAUAUGCAGUAGCAGUCUGGUGGGAACAAGUCCCUCAUCUCUGCUAUAAAAGGCUGUCCCUAUAGUGUGGCAUUUAAAUAUGCUGACAAUGAUGAAAAUAAAAAAAGCAGAAGUUUGUACUUCUGGUUUUUGUUUAUCCGGGAAGUAGGUAUCAUACAUAUCAUAUUUGACGGCCGCGUGGCGCAGUGGGUAGUGACCCUGCUUUCUGCAUCCACAGCCGUGGGUAAAAUGUGAUAUAAUAAUAAUAAUAAUAAUAAUAAUAAUAAAUAAAUAAUAAUAAUAAAAAAUAAAUAAUAAUAAAAAAUAAAUAUGUGAUAUAAUAAUAAUAAUAAUAAUAAUAAUAAUAAAUAAAUAUACUUAAACAAUACACAUCACUAUCUAGCCCCAAAGUAAGCAUACGGAAUAGCUUGUGUUAUGAGUACUAAGAUAGUUGAUAUUAUAAUAUUCAUAUACAUUUAUAUACUACAUAUAAAUACUUAUAUAAUGUAUAAAUACACACAGACACUGGAAAACACCCAUGCUCAUCACACAAAUAUUUUCCAGUUGUGGGAAUCGAACCCACGACCGUGGAUGCAGAAAGCAGGAUCACUACCCACUGCGCCACGCGGCCGUCAAUUACAAGGCCGGGUGUAAUUACAAGCACAUGAGCUUCAUCAUUAUCAACCCAUAUUCGGCUCACUGCUGAGCUCGAGUCUCCUCUCAGAAUGAGAGGGGUUAGGUCAAUAGUCAUCACGGCUCAAGCACAUGAGCUUAAUGCAUAUGAUAUGCCUUUUAAAUUAUCGGGUGUAGGUGCUCUUCGAUGAACUUUUCAAAAAACAUUAUAAAAACAUAUGGUUGAAGAAUAAAAAACGUUUUUUUGUAUUUUAAUGAUUUUUUCUACUAGGUACCUAUGCAUCUACUUAAAAGUAAUAUACAAUUGUAAUUAGAGAGAAAUAAAUAUUAUUAUAACAUGAAAAGUAGUAAGUACUCGUAGUAGUGUAGGCAAUAAAGUAUAAUAACUGAAAUAUCCUGAAUUUUCAUUGGAUACACAUCAUAACACAAUAUCCUAAAUAACCAAAUGUUUUGAGAGACAAUGGACGGAACGGACGGCGACGCGUGACUGGUGUGAUGUCAGCAGUUGCAAUGUACUAUUGAAAGCAAAUAUCGAAGCGUGAUAGACCACCCCCUUCCUGAAGUAAUGCACGUAAACUGCGGUACCAGGAAGGAAAGGAGGAGAUAAGAAGGAAAAAAAAAAGUUGCAAUGUAACCUGUAUUAUAUUUAAUAUUCCGUGGUACUAGUUGAAAUAUAACACGUUACACAGAGCUAUAGAUAUCGCGUCGUAUCGCGUCGUGUCGCGUCGCCGUCGCGCCCGACGGGAAGAAAACAACAAGAGCGCAACGGGACGUGCCGUGACGCGUGAGGAGGUACAUCAGUGGGUUAGCACCGCCUUCAAGUGAUCAGCAGGUAACGUAACAUGAUGUUAUUUUUUUUUGCUUUCUAAUUUAGUUGGUUGGUUUUAAUUUUAUGUUUGUUUCGGUUGUAAUUUAUUUUUUAUUAUUUUAGCUGUCACACAGUAUUUUAUUUGUACUUUAAUAAAAGAAAAUAGUUCCUACAG